rnacentral:rRNA from 1 species
UACGGGGGGAGCAAGCGUUGUUCGGAUUUACUGGGCGUAAAGGGCGCGUAGGCGGCCACCGCAAGUCGACUGUGAAAUCUCCGGGCUUAACCCGGAAAGGUCAACUGAUACUGCAGGGCUAGAGUGCAGAAGGGGCAACUGGAAUUCUCGGUGUAGCGGUGAAAUGCGUAGAUAUCGAGAGGAACACCUGCGGCGAAGGCGGGUAGCUGGGCCGACACUGACGCUGAUGCGCGAAAGCCAGGGGAGCGAACGGGG